AAUCAACGCUGGCGGCGUGCCUCAGACAUGCAAGUCGAACGCGAAAGUUUCCUUCGGGAGGCGAGUAGAGUGGCGCACGGGUGAGUAACACGUAGGUAAUCUACCUUUGGGUGGGGAAUAACAGCCGGAAACGGCUGCUAAUACCGCAUAAUGCAGCGGCUCGACAUCGAGACAGUUGUUAAAGCGGGGGAUCGCAAGACCUCGCGCCUAAAGAGGAGCCUGCGGCGGAUAGCUAGUUGGUGAGGUAAUGGCUCACCAAGGCAUCGAUCCGUAGCCGGCCUGAGAGGGCGGUCGGCCACACUGACACUGACAUACGGGUCAGACUCCUACGGGAGGCAGCAGUCGGGAAUUUUGGGCAAUGGGCGCAAGCCUCGA
rnacentral:rRNA from 1 species